CAUGGUUUAUGUGCAUUUUUUGUGGCCUGUGAAAAAAAGACAAAAAAAUUAUGUCGUAAAACGCUAAACGGAAAAAAUACUUUUUUCAUAAAACUUUGUGCCGCGCACACAUAUUUGCGAACAUAUAUGCGUGGAUUUUUUUUAUUUUUUUGACAUUUUAAAACAUGUUUAAAAUGCAUUUUAAAAAAAUGAGUGCAUAUGCCCAUGGGUUCAGGACGUGCCGACUCGUCCGCGGAGUAGCUGUCGUGUGUUACGCAAUCAAUGUGCUCAGUAGCUUUAUUACCAAACUUGUGUAAUCUAGGGUUCAAGGAUUCCAUUAGUGUUGGUGCUUGGUACAUAUGGUGGCAAAAAAGGGAGUGCAUUGUGAACCAACCUCUAGUUGGAUGGUUAGAGGGAUUGUGGUAUUCCUAAACCAUCAGGCUUGAAGUCCUGGUGCUCGCACUUAUUCCUAGAUUUAUUUUAGGAUUUCCGGCGAUGCACAUUCAAUGAAAGGAGUCUUUCGAAGGUGCUCAUAUGGGUAGGAUGUGCAUGUGUGCCUUCAUAGGGGUGAAUGUGCGCGUGCAUAUGAGGUUGCUAUACUUCGGAACUCAAAGAGGGAAACAAUGGCAAGUCGUUCAUGGAUUCUCAAGAAUUUACUUAAUAGCACAACAGCGAAGGCUGUAGCCUUGCAAAGGCAGCUUUCUAUGGUACAAGAUCUCGGAUGCACCGACACUAUUAUGAAAUCUGAUUCUCUGGAGCUUAUUCAAUCAUGCAAUGGAAUCUAUCAUUCUUAAGAAAUUGCUCCCCACUACAAGGCAUUGUCUUAACAUGCAGGUAGUCCACCUCAGCAUUGCCAUGUCAGCAGUUCAGUUACAUAUAACAACCGAUGACAAAUAAUCUCUGCCCGACUCUCUCUCUCCAGCCCCACCGCCCAAUAAUCUCCCCGGUAACUCCUCUACCCAUUACGACUAAAAGAAAACCCCUCUACACAUUGAUUUCCACCACUAAUUCCAAUUCAUCUUCUCCAUCGAGUAAAUUCAGGAGUAACAAAAACUUCCAUCUUCACCAGAGCGAUUUGAAGCGCAUCGGCCACCGUCUGGCCUACAUAGCUGUCGUCCCAGCCAUUAACCCAACGAGCGUCACCCACCAUCGUCCAUCCCCCACCCGCCUCCCCGUCUGAACCACGCAGGUCGCCACCAACGACGCCACCUGACCGUCGGCGCUGUCGUCGACCAAGUUGUUGUGCGCGCCACUUGCCCCAAUCCUGCCGCGUUCCGCCACUAGCAACGUUCUGGAGCCCCUACCGCCAAACCACACCGCGUGACAUCGCCAAAAGCCUCACCCCCUUCAGUUACGGAUCCACAUCCUCUAAUCUCGAUCUGUGCGCGGUGAUUCGAUCUCCCACCAUCGGCCAGCCUCCUUCAGCGCCACCGGGCACGGCUCCCACCCUCCUCCCUCAUGCGGUCAUUCCCAUGGAGCAGCGCUCGCCCAACGCCCUAACAGCAGCCACCGUCGCAUGUGUCAAGGGCCCCACUCUUCUGCACCGACCAGACUGCUCCUUCCUCCUUGAUGUGAAGACAGCGAUCUAGAGGAGCCCACGACGGUGUCCCGUUUCUUCUCUGAGUUGUAGCCAUGGCGGUGAUAUUGUCUGACUAUGAAGAUUAGAGGCGGAGCCAGAUUUGGAGCACACUAUGGGCUUGCAAUUGUAAAUUUGCUUUGUAAUGUUAAUCAACACAUUUUUUCUCUUAUCUCUAUACAUCUUUUACUGGUCCUGUAAGUGAUAUUGCAGAGUUACCACGAUACACGAGUUUCACAGAAACUUGAACACGGGAGUACAUUUGUUUUGGGACAGGGCGAAUUUAUUAGGAGACAUACCAGUAAGUACUAGCUUACCUUAAUCCCUGAUUAUAUCGCUUAAAUUAUCAUUCCCAUGCUAUUUAUUUGCUCCCUUCAUGUAUGUUACUAUCAUACAAGUCAUAGUGCUCGGAGAAAUUUUGAGUUCUCACCGCCUGAAGGUACGCUAUCUUGCUACUUACUAUGAGGUUAUCCUACAUAAUUUUAUGAUUAUUACUUUUCCCAUGCCUUAUGUAAUUAUGUUUGCAGAAAAGGAAUGUUUGCAUUAUUUGCCAUCCCAUCGAUACAUGUUUAUUGGUUGUUCUUCUCGAUUAUUGCUAAAUUGUGUUAUCAAUUUCCUACAUCAGAAUACUGAAACAUGGAUGGUUAUGGUAUGCAGCAACAUCAAAAUAAAACCAAAAGAUAACAUCAGAUUGUAGAGCAAUUACUUAGCACCGUAUGUUGUUUCCCUAGCUCUAUGGGAUGUCAUACACACUUCAUGUUUAAAACUUCCCUUCUAGUUGUCAAAAAUAUUCGAAUUAAAUAUGAAGAGUCUAUUGCCCCAUUUUAGUUUCUUUGAAGAAUCAAGAAGGCCAAAUACAACACAACUUAUAAUUUUUGCUUUGCUGCGAAUGAAAAAGGUAAAUCAUAUGAGUAUGGAAUAUUUAGACAAGGUACAACCUACAGGUAAGUCUUUCAAAAACGUUAUCAUGUCAGUAUAAAUAAAUAAAAUUUAGUAUGUUUCUGUACAAUGUACUGCUUCCUUAACAAAUAAAAAAACUAUAUCAGUGUAUGCUAUUGAUGAUGCCUCUCUGGAUGUUUGAGACAUAUAUCUCUGCUAACUUCUCAGGUGUGCUUCACAUGUACUAUCAUAUGCCCAUACUUUAUUUUUCCAGUUAACAUUUGUCCAUGCCUCUCUGGAUGUUUGAGACAUAUAUCUCUGCUAACCAAGUGUAUUAGAAUUACUUUGAUGCUAUGAAUAUCCAACAUAGUUAGUUGGGAGAGGUAUCGGUGCACGUUACUGAUAAUUCUCUUUAUGUUUGUGCAGAAAUAUAUUUGUUCAUUGUUUCAAAUGUAAAUAUCAAUAUUUCAUGGAUCUCCAAAAUCAACAUUUAAAACGUAAAUGUAUUGUUCAGUGUUUCAAGUUGUAUCUUCUAUUCA